rnacentral:rRNA from 1 species
AGAGGAAGUAAAAGUCGUAACAAGGUUUCCGUAGGUGAACCUGCGGAAGGAUCAUUAACGAGUAAAAAAUUGAAAAGGGUUGUAGCUGGCCACAAACCAAACCAAAAACAAUAAAUAAACCCAAGGCAUGUGCACACCCUGCUCAAUCCACUCUCAUACCCCUGUGCACUUAUUGUAGGCUCGGUGGCAUGGCGCUCACGCGUCAGUAAGCCUCGCCUACGUUUAUAUUACAAACUCAGUCAAAGAAUGUAACCUCGCGUUUAACGCAAUAAAUACAACUUUCAGCAACGGAUCUCUUGGCUCUCGCAUCGAUGAAGAACGCAGCGAAAUGCGAUAAGUAAUGUGAAUUGCAGAAUUCAGUGAAUCAUCGAAUCUUUGAACGCACCUUGCGCUCCUUGGUAUUCCGAGGAGCAUGCCUGUUUGAGUGUCAUGGAAUUCUCAACCUCUAACACUUUGUUGUGAAAGAGGCUUGGACUUGGAGGUUGUGUCGGCGCAAGUUGACUCCUCUCAAAUGUAUUAGCGUGAAUCUUACGGAUCGCCUUCAGUGUGAUAAUUAUCUGCGCUGUGGGUGUUGAAGUACAAUAAUGUUCGUGCUUACAACUGUCCGCAAGGACAAUCUAUUGACAAUCUGACCUCAAAUCAGGUAGGACUACCCGCUGAACUUAAGCAUAUCAA